rnacentral:rRNA from 1 species
GACGAACGCUGGCGGCGUGCUUAACACAUGCAAGUCGAACGGAAAGGCCCUGCUUUUGUGGGGUGCUCGAGUGGCGAACGGGUGAGUAACACGUGAGUAACCUGCCCUGGACUGUGGGAUAACUUCAGGAAACUGGGGCUAAUACCGGAUAGGAGCUCCUGCUGCAUGGUGGGGGUUGGAAAGUUUCGGCGGUGGGGGAUGGACUCGCGGCUUAUCAGCUUGUUGGUGGGGUAGUGGCUUACCAAGGCUUUGACGGGUAGCCGGCCUGGGAGGGUGACCGGCCACCUUGGGCCUGAGAUACGGCCCAGACUCCUACGGGGGGCAGCAGUGGGGAAUCUUGCACAAUGGGCGGAAGCCUGAUGCAGCGACGCCGCGUGCGGGAUGACGGCCUUCGGGUUGUAAACCGCUUUCGCCUGUGACGAAGCGUGAGUGACGGUAAUGGGUAAAGAAGCACCGGCUAACUACGUG